rnacentral:rRNA from 1 species
UACGAAGGGUGCAAGCGUUACUCGGAAUUACUGGGCGUAAAGCGUGCGUAGGUGGUUUGUUAAGUCUGCUGUGAAAGCCCCGGGCUCAACCUGGGAAUGGCAGUGGAUACUGGCAAGCUAGAGUGCGGUAGAGGGUAGUGGAAUUCCCGGUGUAGCGGUGAAAUGCGUAGAGAUCGGGAGGAACACCAGUGGCGAAGGCGGCAUCCUGGACCAAUUCUGACGCUGAGGAGCGAAAGCUA